ACGCUGAGCUAGUACCCGGGCUUGGAAUCGGGCCGCAACCUCAGCCGCGCCUGCCGCCUUUCACCGCCUCUGAACCAUGGACCCCCGCAAAGUGAGCGAGCUUCGGGCCUUCGUGAAAAUGUGUAAGCAGGAUCCGAGCGUUCUGCACACCGAGGAAAUGUGCUUCCUGCGGGAGUGGGUGGAGAGCAUGGGGGGUAAAAUACCACCUGCCACUCAUAAAACUAAAUCAGAAGACAAUAUCAAGGAAGAAAAAACAGAUAGUAAGAAGGCGGAGGAAAACAUAAAGACAGACGAACCAUCAAGUGAGGAAAGUGAUCUAGAAAUUGACAAUGAAGGUGUGAUUGAACCAGAUACUGAUGCCCCUCAAGAAAUGGGAGAUGAAAAUGUAGAGAUAACCGAGGAAAUGAUGGAUCAGGCAAAUGAUAAAAAAGUGGCUGCCAUUGAUGCCCUAAAUGAUGGUGAACUACAGAAAGCCAUUGACUUGUUCACAGAUGCCAUCAAACUGAAUCCUCGCUUGGCCAUUCUGUAUGCCAAGAGAGCCAGUGUCUUCAUCAAAUUACAGAAGCCAAAUGCUGCCAUUCGAGACUGUGACAGAGCUAUUGAAAUAAAUCCUGAUUCAGCUCAGCCUUAUAAGUGGCGAGGGAAAGCACACAGACUUCUGGGCCAUUGGGAAGAAGCAGCACAUGAUCUUGCCCUUGCUUGUAAACUGGAUUACGAUGAAGAUGCUAGCGCAAUGCUGAAACAAGUUCAACCGAGGGCCCAGAAAAUUGCUGAACAUCGGAGAAAGUAUGAGUGAAAACGUGACGAGCGAGAGAUCAAAGAAAGAAUAGAAAGGGUUAAGAAGGCUCGGGAAGAACAUGAGAGAGCCCAGAGGGAGGAAGAAACCAGACAACAAUCAGGAGCUCAGUAUGGCUCUUUCCCAGGUGGCUUUCCUGGGGGAAUGCCUGGUAAUUUUCCUGGAGGAAUGCCUGGAAUGGCAGGGGGGAUGCCUGGAAUGGCAGGAAUGCCUGGGCUCAAUGAAAUUCUUAGUGAUCCAGAGGUUCUCGCAGCCAUGCAGGAUCCAGAAGUUAUGGUGGCCUUCCAGGAUGUGGCCCAGAACCCAGCGAAUAUGUCAAAAUAUCAGAGCAAUCCAAAGGUUAUGAAUCUCAUCAGUAAAUUGUCAUCCAAAUUUGGAGGUCAAACAUAAUAAUGCCCUUCUGACAAAUAAAGCCCUUGCUGAAGGAAAAGCAACGAUCACCUAAUGGAUGUCGCAAUAAUACAAACCAGUGUACCUCUGACUUUCUCAUGAAGAAAGCUGGGGUGCUGUGAAGAGAAUCCCUACCCCUCUGCCCCAUAUGCAACUGAAACAUUCUAUAGUGGCUUGCCAUUAGGGUAGUCAUUCAGAUAAUGUUUUCCUACUAGGAAUUACAAACUUUAAACACUUUUAAACCUUAAAAAUAUUUAAAAACAUAUUAAAAGGGUGUGUUAGUCCCUACAUUUUUCUUUACUAAUCAUUUCAGUUUUUUUCCUUUGGAUUAAUUAGGCAAGGAAGAUAUUUCAGUGUGGAAGAUUUAUUGCUCAGUUUGAGUGAAAUAAAGGUUUAUUAGUGGGAGGCAAAUAUAACAUUUAAAUAGAUGAAGUUUGAGUUGGAGAUAUGGUUUCUGAGGCAUUUUGACUUGUCUUCUUAAAUGCUUUAUUUUUUAAACACAAUUUAUUUGGAUAAAACCAUUGGGACCACCAGUAUUGCAGUAGGACCUGGGUAGGGACCGGAAGUGCUUGGCAGGGCAGCAGCAACCUUACUCCUUUUAUAUAGUGUGCACCCUUGUGCAGAUGCAUUUAAAUCUUACACGGUGGUGAAGGGAUGAUUUUUAUAAUGCUGCAGUAGAAUUGGAUUACUUAGCUGUGUUCUUGUCUGAUAUAGAAAAUAAAUGUUUGCAUUAUUUCCACAUAGGGGAAAAA